rnacentral:lncRNA from 1 species
GCGUGCGUGGCUCCUUCCAUGUCCGCCCCGAGACGCGCCCGGCGAUGACGCCGUCGUAGGUGGGCUGCCCGAAGGCCGCCGGCUUGGACGGGUCGGACUGGGAGGGCACCGCACGGAGCUUGGACGGCCGGGGGGCGUCGGCGUCGAGGUCCAUGGAAUCGGCGGCAUCUGCCUCCUCCUCCCGGCGCUUGCGCUUUCCGCGCUCGCCGCCGAGGCCCUCGUCGAGGUAGCGGAAGUCGAGGUGCGAGGCCAUGGGGGGAGACUGGGAACUAGCUAGGGUUUCGCCGCCUUUGGGGCUGGG